rnacentral:rRNA from 1 species
GAUGAACGCUGGCGGCGUGCCUAAUACAUGCAAGUCGAGCGAACGGACGCUAAGCUUGCUUCUCUUAUGUUAGCGGCGGACGUGUGAGUAACACGUGUAUACCCUACCUAUAAUACUGUGAUAACUUCGGGAAACCGGAGCUAAUACCUGAUGAUGUUUUGAACCUCAUGUUUCAAAAGUGACAUACGGUCUUGCUGUCUCUUAUAGAUGGAUCCGCGCUGCAUUAGCUAGUUGGUAAGGUAACGGCUUACCAAGGCAACGAUGCAUAGCCGACCUGAGAGGGUGAUAGGCCACACGGGAACUGAGACACGGUCAAGACUCCUAAGGGAGGCAGAAGUAGGGAAUCGUACGAAAUGGGCGAAAGCCUGACGGAGCAACGCAGCGUGAGUGAUGAAGGUCUGAGGAUAGUAAAACUCGGUUAUGAGGGAAGAACAUAUGUGUAAGUAACUGUGCACAUAUUGACGGUACAUAAUAAGAAAGCCACGGCUAACUACGUG